UUCUUAGACCACAGAUGCAAGCUCAUGAAAGACCCCCGAAGUGGGGAGACCCUCACUCAAGUCUCAGGAUGGUGCAACCCCCCCAAGAACUCAUGAGAGACC
rnacentral:pre_miRNA from 14 species